rnacentral:tRNA from 1 species
GGGGUUGUGGCUCAGUGGUAGAGCACUUGUUUAUCAUGUAUGAGGCUCUAAGUUCAAUCCUCAGCACCA